rnacentral:lncRNA from 1 species
GAUAUUGGGAUUAAUAAGCUUGGUGGGAAUGUGUAUGAAGAAGGAAAGGUUUAUGGGAAGAUGUAUUUUGGUGAUAAUUUUGAUAGGUUGGUGAAGGUGAAGACUGCAGUUGAUCCAGGAAAUUUCUUCUGGAAUGAACAGAGUAUACCUCCUCUAAAAACUGCGGCAUAGACAAUAUAUAUAUAUAUGAUAGGUUCACAAAAUUAGUUUGUGAUCAGGAAUGGAAAUUCCUUGACAUCUAUAUACAUACAUAUAUAUAUCAUUUGAACCAUAAACAGAGAGGUUUAUUAUGAUUAUCUCUCUGUAUUAUUAGUUGUAUUGAUUUCAAUCAAUCACUAUUAUCAAAAAAUUUCUCCUUUUUUCCCCUACAUAUAUACAUAUAUAUAUAUCAUUUGGUGGGACAAAAAUUAUAAUGUGAUGAUGGGCUUUUCUUUAUACUGUUUAAGGUCCAAGUUUUGGCCCAAAUUCCAUGCCUUUCGUUAAGCCUUCCUCGGACACGAAUAGGCCUUUCUUCGUAAAAUCUUGCGACCUAAAAAAUGCUAACUUUCUAACUUUAGAAAUCGAAAACAUGUCGAAACAAUGAGAUAUCAACCUCGAUUAUCUUUUGUCGUUAUACCUACUAAAUUCUCGAAAGUUAUGUUGGUUCGUACAUGAUUCUCGUUCGCAAUCGUCUUCUUUCUUAUUUGCAACCCCUUUGCCUUUCUUAACCAAUAUACUCCAAUCUCGAAUUUUAUUCACUUCGGAGAAAAGAUACGUAACUCAUUAGUAUGUCGUAUUAUUCUUUUUUAAUAAAUAAUCCCACUUACGUGGUUUGUAAAACGGUAUUUAUAUAAAAGAAAAAAAUGUUAGUAAGUGUUUGUAAAAAACAAUAUUUAAUUGAGUUUUUAUAAUAUAAGAUUUACGAAAACAUAAUAUGAUUAUAUUUUAAUUAAGAUUGAAAUCUAAUUUAAGUUUGAUAUAAUCAAAUCUAAUAUGAUUAUAGGGUAAUAUAUUAAAUUAAACAAAGACUAAGUGAAUUCUACUACACCAACUCUAUAAUAUAUGUAUAUAUAUAUAUAUAUAUAUUUUAUGUUGAAAAGAUCGGGUGAUCUUAGUGAAAAUUCAAAUGGAACAACAAGCACGAAACGACAUGACGUUAUCGCGAGGACAGGAGACAAAGCGACAAAAACAAUGUCGUUUUACAAAGGCCAAAAAGAGUAGUCUCAUAAUAUGAAUCCAGAGAAUGACACGUGUUACAACCACAUGAUGCCACGUGUCCGACUGAAAAAACGCAAACGCGGAGCGGCUCUGGAGAUACCAGGUAGGAAAGGGUUGAAAAGUCAACCUCCGAGUGGGCUGGCCGACUGAUUGAAGCCAGUUUGACUUGGUCAACCUUAUAAAUUUCACGCUCUCCACGUGAGACCAAGAGAUUUUUGGCGCACACGCACCCACAUGAUAAUUUUAAGACGCGCCUCCUCGUGGUGUAAAAUCAAACCAUGUUUAUCGUUUCAAUAAAUUAAAUUAAUUUUUUUAAUUAUCAAGUACCUAAAAAAUAAUUUUCACUAUAAAUAUUACAUACACGAUAUCAAAUUUUCGAGUGUUUCUUUUAGUUNNNNNNNNNNNNNNNNNNNNNNNNNNNNNNNNNNNNNNNNNNNNNNNNNNNNNNNNNNNNNNNNNNNNNNNNNNNNNNNNNNNNNNNNNNNNNNNNNNNNNNNNNNNNNNNNNNNNNNNNNNNNNNNNNNNNNNNNNNNNNNNNNNNNNNNNNNNNNNNNNNNNNNNNNNNNNNNNNNNNNNNNNNNNNNNNNNNNNNNNNNNNNNNNNNNNNNNNNNNNNNNNNNNNNNNNNNNNNNNNNNNNNNNNNNNNNNNNNNNNNNNNNNNNNNNNNNNNNNNNNNNNNNNNNNNNNNNNNNNNNNNNNNNNNNNNNNNNNNNNNNNNNCCAUCAACAUUCACCUUUCACAAAUUUCUGAGAGGUUUUUGCUAAGUUAUAAGUCAUUAAUUUUACUAAAUCAAUUAUUAUAAAUUGAUCAUAUUCGUAAAAAAAUUUAAUCCUUAAUUUUUAAAUAAAGUACAAAUAUUUUAAUUACACUAAACCAUUGAUUGUACUAAUUUUUUUAAUAUAUACCAAAAAUGUUUAUUAUAUGAGACAUGUGACAUAUAACCAAGCAAAGAUGGUAACGAUUAUGUUUUGGGUUAUUGAGUAAGAGUAGAAGUUGGGCACGUAGUUUAUUUGACUAAUAAUAUCUUAAUGCAUCUCAACUUACUAUAACAUAAUAUAAUAUAAUUAUAAUAAUAACAAAUAUAGAAUAUUAAUAUUUUAAAAAAACUAGUAGAAAUACUACUACUAGUAAUGUAAAAAUAUUCAUAAGACUUACGGAAAAAAUAAAUAUUUUAAUAAAAUUUGACACUACUCAAUAUUAAACUUAUCAAAAUGAGUAAAGAAAGUAAAUAAAAUAAAUUAGUUUAGAGUUAAUUGAAAAAAAAAACUAGUUUAGGGAUUGUGUUAAUAACAAAUCUAAAAUUUCUACUAAAUUCAUUUUAAAAUUUACACAUAUUUAAUUUAAAUAACGAUAAAAUUUUAUAUCGAAUAGUAAAGAUUGAAUUAAUAAAUAUUGGUAAUUCUUUCGAUAGUUUAUAUGCAAUAAUUAAAUUUUGUUUAACGUAAUCGGGAAUAUUUUAUUUUAAUCGUUUAUAAAAUUAUAUGUAAACUUAAAACUUAUCAUUUCUUCGUUAAAAUUUACGCCUCGUAUUAUUAAAAAGUUUAGAUUCGGGAAAAUUUAAAAAACGAAUUUUGAAUUUUCAAUCAUAAAACUCUUCAAAUUCUAAAAUACUUACAUAAUUUUUCUAUGUAUCAAAAUCACUUACGAUCCAACUUGGAAAAUUUGGGAUUGUGACUUUUAGAAUGCUUGAAGUCUUAUUAACAAUCGGCAAUGAACCAAUGAAUUUGGAUGAAUAAUUUAUUUGGAAUUAGUUGGUAUGCACGUUUGACUUUUUCCUUGGUGAAGACUUUGAGUUUUGUAUGAUUGGAAGGUUGCUUGUUCCGUAAUUAAAGACUAAAAGGUGAUAAGAUGCUUAUAUAUAUAUAUAUAUAUAUAUAUAUAUAUAUAAACCAAAUAUAAACAUGGGGAAAUAAAAUAUUGGAAGAACCAAGAGAUUUUGACUAUGUAUGUUUUGAUCUAGUUUAGAAGAAAAAAAAAAUUCUUUUUUUUAAUAGCUCAACUUUAAUUAGUGUAACUAAAACCUCAUUAAAAAUAUAUAUAGUAACAAUUAUUUUCAUAAUAUAAAGUAUUUUGUUGUUAAAUAUUAAUAUAUGCUGAAAGUCGUAGUUUAAGUAUUACCUCGUAAUGGCUAUAAUCAAAUAGAGUCUAUUGGAUCGAACUUUUGACGGAAAAACAAAGAUAGUUAGAGAUUUAUUCGUUGGCUUAAGUGGUCUGUGAUACGUGUGAGUAAAAGAACAAGCGGUAUAGGCUUUUGGGAUUUCUAAAGUUUCAAUAAGGUAAUGGCUGCAAGGCAAGUUUGGAGAUUCAUCGAGUAUUCUCAUACUCUAAGUGCAAGGUUACCUAAGAUUAAAUACAAUUAUGAUGGAGAUUUUAUGACUGUAUUUUAAGAUUUAUACUAGAAUAUAUAUGGAUCGACUUUUGACGGAAAAACAAAGAUAGUUAUAGAUUUAUUCGUUGGCUUAAGUGGUCUGUGAUACGUGUGAGUAAAAGAACAAGCGGUAUAGGCUUUUGGGAUUUCUAAAGUUUCAACAAGGUAAUGCUUGCAAGGCAAGUUUGGAGAUUCAUAGAGUAUUCUCGCACUCUAAGUGCAAGGUUACUUAAGAUUAAAUACAAUUAUGAUGGAGAUUUUAUGACUGCAUUUUAAGAUUUAUAUUAGAAUAUAUAUUGGAUCGACUUUUUGACGGAAAAACAAAGAUAGUCAGAGAUUUAUUCGUUGGCUUAAAUGGUCUGUGAUACGUGUGAGUAAAAGAACAAGCGGUAUAGGCUUUUGGGAUUUCUAAAGUUUCAACAAGGUAAUGCUUGCAAGGCAAGUUUGGAGAUUCAUAGAGUAUUCUCGCACUCUAAGUGCAAGGUUACCUAAGAUUAAAUACAAUUAUGAUGGAGAUUUUAUGACUGCAUUUUAAGAUUUAUAUUAGAAUAUAUAUUGGAUCGACUUUUUGACGGAAAAACAAAGAUAGUCAGAGAUUUAUUCGUUGACUUAAAUGGUCUGUGAUACGUGUGAGUAAAAGAACAAGCGGUAUAGGCUUUUGGGAUUUCUAAAGUUUCAAUAAGGUAAUGCUUGCAAGGCAAGUUUGGAGAUUCAUCGAGUAUUCUCACACUCUAAGUGCAAGGUUACCUAAGAUUAAAUACAAUUAUGUUGGAGAUUUUAUGACUGCAUUUUAAGAUUUACACUAGAAUAUAUAUGGUGUAGUGUUCUUGCAGGUAGAAUUUUGUUGAGUGAUGAUAUCCUGUAGAAAGUGAAUAAUAGAAUACAAGUGAAUAACGGUAGGACAAAUGACUUUCAAAUCAAGAGAGUUAUAGAGUAUGGUCACUAAAACCACAAAAUUGUACCUUCAAAACAUGGUGCUAACUUAUAUAUCUUGAUGGACCUCGGCGGAAUUGGGAGUUAAUUGAUAACUUAUGUCAAUGAAAAGGUUUUUAGUAGAUUUGUAGCAUUUCAUCGAGUAGAUGAUUACUACCAAGCAAAAUAAUUUAGAGAUUUACAAAGUAUGGUAGCUAUACAUUUAAAUUUGGUUAGCGUAAAGUUUGGAGUAUAUGUUUCAUAGAAGAGACAAAAUUCUCGUCCAGCUCUCCAAUGUUCAUAUCGAAUAAAGUUCAAAUAAAACUAGUUUUUCCUGCACUAAACGCUUGUCUUAUAAUGUAUAUUAUAAUAUCAUCAUAUGCAAAGAUGAAAUAAUGUUAAAACAAUGACUCUAAGUGUUGAACGCCAAAAAUAUUAAAAGAGACGAAAAAUGAGUGAUGAGAGUAUAUGGAUAAAAAAAAAUAUAUAGUAUAUAUAAUACAUGUAUAUGAAACAAAUCAAAUAACAAAUCGAAAUAUUAUUAAACAAAUAAACAUUACGUUCAAAUUAAUUAAUUCUUUUUGCUAUUUCAUAUCGGGUUUAUUUUGAUUUUUUUUUUAAAUUUGGAUUUAAGUUUUUGGAAUUGGAAUACUUUGACUUAUUUUUCCUUACAAAAACUCGAUCGAGUUGACUUUUUCUUUGGGGAGAAGAUGAUCAAGUUGACUUUUUUGUAUUAAAAGAAAAUUAUGAAAUUUAAAAAUGUGUGAUUGGUGGGAAGUGAUAUUAAUUCUAUACAUAUGGAAUCUUGUUAUUCCAUGAAAGGUGCAAAAAAUCAAAAUUUUAAAACAUGUUUGAUAAUUAUUAUUCGUCUCAAAAAUUUAAUAAAAAAUAUAAAAAAUUUUAUAAAAUUUUAAUAAAUUUUAUUUUUUUUCUUAUAAGUAUUAAAAUUUUAUUAGUAAUAAAUUAGUGAUAUCUUAAUCAUAAAAUAAUAGUGUUUUAAACAUAAAAUAAACAUAUUUUAAUUUUAAUAAUUAUAAAUUAACUGAUUAGUGAUUUUUUUAGUGGAUUAAUAUUUUAAUUUUAAUAAUUAAGAAUGUUUGGUGGGGUUUUUUUUUUUUUAAAAAAAGAAUUAUUAAAUUUAAAAACUUUAUUCGCAUUUAAUGGUAUUAAAACGAAUAAUCAUAAUUAAAUAAUUAAAUCAUUUAAAACAUAAUUAAUUUUUAUUAAAUUACUAAUUAAAAAUAUAAUACCACGUCAUGUGUCUCCCCCGUGGAUUCCUCCGUCUCAUUAGAUUUUUUCUAUUUUCCUAUUUGGGAUUUUCCGGGAAACUAACUAAGCCGUAAUAACGCUCCUUUAUAAACCAAUCAGGAAACCACCGAACUCAACGCCAAUCAUUUCAAAAACCUUCAAACCAGACCGACAAUGGCGAAACCUAUAGACUUCAUUCCACUCUGUCUCCUUCUCUUCACUCUUCUUCACUCAUCUUCUGCAAACGAAGAUUCUGUUCACAAAAGUUUUCUGAACUGCAUGAUCAAGGAAACAAAUCCAGAAAUCUCAAACACCAUUUUCGCCAAAACAAACUCUUCUUACACCUCUGUUCUUCGAGCUUAUAUUCGUAAUGCCCGAUUCAAUACCUCCUCAGCGCCGAAACCCAUUAUUAUUAUAACCCCGUUGGAGGAAUCCCAUGUCCGGGCUGCUGUAAUUUGUACAAAGAAAGUAGGGUUUAUACUCAAAAUCCGCAGCGGCGGCCAUGACUACGACGGGAUCUCCUACGUCUCCGAUUCCCCUUUCUUCAUCCUCGAUAUGUACAAUUUGAGAACGGUAACCGUAGACAUGGAGGAAGAAUCAGCGUGGGUCGGCGCCGGCGCGACGCUUGGCGAAGUGUACCACGCGAUUUGGACGAAGAGUAAAGUUCAUGGGUUCCCCGCCGGAGUUUGUCCGACGGUCGGUGCCGGCGGACAUAUAAGCGGCGGCGGGUAUGGAAAUAUACUGAGAAAACAUGGAUUGUCUGUUGAUCAUAUGGUGGAUGCGAAGAUAGUUGAUGUGAAUGGAAGAAUUCUUGAUAGAGAAUCAAUGGGGGAAGAUCUGUUUUGGGCGAUCAGAGGAGGAGGAGGAGCAAGCUUUGGUGUGAUUUUAUCUUAUAAGAUCAAACUUGUUCCUGUUCCUGAAACUGUUACAGUUUUCAGAUUAGAAUAUCUCAUGGAUCAAAAUGCUUUGGACAUAACUCAUAAAUGGCAGUUCGUUGCUCCAAAAACCGACCCAAAUUUGUUCAUGAGAGUUCUAAUUCAACCUGUUACUAGAAACAAGAAGAGAACAAUCAGGACUACUAUUAUCACAUUGUUUCUGGGUAAAGCAGAUGAAGUGGUUUCCCUUUUGGGAAAGGAGUUUCCUGAAAUGGGUUUGAAGAAGGAGAAUUGCACAGAGAUGACAUGGGUUCAAUCUGUUCUGUGGUGGGCAAAUUUUGAUAAUGUCACUGAGAUUUCCCCAGAUGUUUUACUUGACAGAAAUCUUGACUCUGCAAAUUUCUUGAAGAGGAAAUCAGAUUAUGUGGGUAAGGAGAUUGGGAAAUCAGAUUUGGAGAGUCUAUUCAAGCAGAUGAUCAAGAUUGGGAAAGUGGGUUUGGUUUUCAACCCUUAUGGAGGGAGAAUGAGAGAGUUUUCUUCAACUGAAACUCCAUUUCCACACAGAGAAAAGCUUUACAAGAUUCAGUAUUCUGUGAACUGGGAAGAACCAGGGAAUGAUGCAGACAAGCAGUUUAUGAAUGAGAUUAGAACUCUCUAUGGGUUCAUGACACCUCUGGUUUCUCAAAAUCCCAGAAGUAGUUAUCUGAAUUACAGAGAUUUAGAUAUUGGAACCAACACAAAUGGUGGGAAAAUCUUUGAAGAAGGUGAAGUUUAUGGGAGAAAAUACUUUGGUGAUAAUUUUGAUAGGUUGGUGAAGGUGAAGACUGCAGUUGAUCCAGGGAAUUUCUUCUGGAAUGAACAGAGUAUACCUCCUCAUAAAAGUAAGGCAUGAAGAGGAAGAUGAUGAAGAAGAAAAAUCAAUUGAUUUGUAAUAAUUUACGAGAUUAUUUUCAAAUCUGAUUUUAUCAUGAACACAUUAUGCAUACAUAUUCACAGAAAAAUUAGCUUGUAUUAUUUGG